GCGAGCAUGAACUUGCAUUAUAACGGAUUUUAGGUUUCCCUUGUUAAGUUUGGUAUUAUGAAUAGAUUUGUUAAGGAAUUAUGAUUUAACUGUCGCAUCCGCUCUCUUGAACUACUUAUCUUUCUUGAUUGGCUUUAUCUUGAUGAUAUCUACUGAUCGAUCAUCUUUUGAAACGGACAUGAAGUUAACAAUGCAGUUGGUCGCUUUGAUCCCUGAAGCUAUCUUUUGACAGUUGAUGCAUAAGGUUUUCUCUUUUCAUAGAUCUGGUUUGGUGUGAAAAACAGAAACUGUGUUGUUCUUGAAUUUUGUUAAAAGAUAAUGUGUUUUGUGAAGUGAUGCUCAGAUCAGUGUUGAUGAGAGACCAAAGAUCCUUGUUCCUGCUUGCUGAAAAAAUCAGGUAAAUAUUUUAUUUUUAAGCGCGAGCUAUACCAAAGGCAUUGUUACAUACCAGAUAUCCAUGUACCUGGAAACCGAUGGAUUUCUGCCACAAUCGUCAUGGGAAGUCAUGAUUUUCUGUGAACAAUACAGUCAAACUGUCUUAUAACAAGCGUAUAGGGACCACAAAAUUUGCUUGUUAUAA